UCCGGUUUGUCACCGGCAGUCUCCCAUGAGUCCCCAACCUAAUGCUGGCAACAUGGAACGGGGGUUGCGCUCGUUGCGGGACUUAACCCAGCAUCUCACGACACGAGCUGACGACAGCCAUGCACCACCUGUGAAGGUGUCCCGAAGGAAAGCCGUGUUUCCACGGCGGUCACCUACAUGUCAAGCCCGGGUAAGGUUCUUCGCGUUGCUUCGAAUUAAGCCACAUCCUCCACCGCUUGUGUGAGCCCCCGUCAAUUCCUUUGAGUUUUAGCCUUGCGGCCGUAGUCCCCAGGCGGAGUACUUAUCGCGUUAGCUGCGGCACCGAGGGGGUCGAUACCCCCGACACCUAGUACUCAUCGUUUACAGCGUGGACUAC
rnacentral:misc_RNA from 1 species